ACAGAUUGACUUACACUUGGCUUUCAGCUUACAACUGAGUCCCAGCUGAGUUCGUGGUACCCUCACUCAGACAAGCCUUCCACAGUCCUGUUCUCACUCCACUAAUUCCAAACUGGCUUUCUUGCCCGCUUGCCAUCCCGGAAGGGCCUUCCGCUCCCCUAGAACUUGCCCGUUUUAAAUGUCAAGACGUUCUUCUGGCAGCUAACCCCUCUAGCUUCCAACCCAGCCUUGUGUUGACUCUUAGCUGUCUGAUCCACAGGCUGAAGACAAGCAUCUCUCUGCUCAUCUUCACAACUCUCUCUAUGAUUGCCUCUGAGCUUUAAAACCAUUAAGAGUGGCUGCAGAGACAUGAAUUGUCUUUAUCUUCUGAAACCUGUACCUCCUAAUGUAAAAAUCUCUCUGUCAGUGGCAGAAGUCCAGGACUAGUAUUUGGAGAACAAGAAUAAGUUAAAGGUGAGGCAACGCUGGCCAGGAAAGCAGAGCCCGCUUUCUCUGCCUCCUUACCGGGCUGGAUAAAGCGUUAUGCUAGCGUGGAUCUCAGAGCAUCGUGGCACUUAAGGCGCACAGCUGAGUGAGACUGCUGGUGACACGUCUCCCCGGCAGCCCGCAUAGGAUCCUCUGGCACAAUGGGCAUUGCCAACAAGGAAGAAGCUCCCAGCCCAGUUCCCAGGAUGAAAGCAUGAACCUGCUUAGCGCUGGAGUCUCACCAUCUAGUCUGAUGGCCAAUCCACAGCAAUGCCAACAGGCUAACCAUUGUUUGGGGAGCCUCAGGGGUCUCCCUGAUUGACAGCCUAUAGCAAGGUAGCUCACCCCUUGCAUGAGGACUUUUAUUUAAUAACCUAUGACUUCUGAGAAUAAGAGUUGACAUUCGUAAAAUAAAUAAAUAAAUAAAAAGGAAUGCCAAA